rnacentral:tRNA from 1 species
CCAUUUCGCCCAUCGGUAGGGCACUCGACUGAUAAUCGAAACGAGGGGGUUCGACUCCCCCAAUGUUCCA